rnacentral:tRNA from 1 species
CCGGUGGUGGUUCAGUGGUAGAGUUCUCACCUUCCAUGUGGGAAACCUGGGUUUGAUUCCCAGCCAAUGUA